UCUGAGCGGCGCGGCCAUUUUCCUCUUCUUCCCGGCUGGUCCGCCCGGAGGCUCUUUCCUCUCAAUAAAGCCUGAACUUAAGACUUUCUUCUAACCUGCGGCCCGGUUUUUUCCCGAACGAGCUCAGUCCUCCCGCAGAGGUGAUGGAGCCUUGCUGUGCUGACCAUGCUGAAAUGCAGUGGCUGUUCACAGGCAGAAUCACAGCGUACACCAACCUCCAAUUCCUGGGCUCAAGUGAUCUUCCUGCCUCAGCUCCUGAGUAGGUGGGACUACAGGCCUUGCCCCCGCACCGGUGCCCUGACUCCUCCUGCACACCUGCCCCCGCCGCCUCAGCUCACCUGUGCCUGGAGGGUUGUUUCCUGAUUGCUCCGUGACUGUGAACCUGGGCAACUUGCUUCUCUGCCAUCCAGUGGGCUGCAACCAUACCUUCUCCAAAGAGACCUGCACCUCAGUCUUUGAAGAGAGCCUUGCCCCUAAGUCCCCAGAGUAACUUUUCCAAGAGACUUCGGUGGAAAUUGCAAGGCUGUUUUUGACCUAGCCCUGGAACUUAUUCAGCAUCACUUCCACUGUAUUUCACAGUGAGGCGUCAACUGUGAUUCAACAUCUGAGAGAACUGUAAGGAAGAGUUUCUUAGAACAAACCCGAUACAUAGGAAACAGUAGAUGUUGGUCAUUGUUGCCAUUCAAGAUGUGAUUGGCCACUCUGUGGAGGCAUCCCUGGCCUUUCAAGCUGUGUUUCUCAAACAUGCUCUGUGGACACAGGUUGGUGGUGGAGUCUGCGUUCUUGGAAGGUGCAGGCCUGGAUCCAGGGUGAUCGGUAGAGAGGAGGAGCUGUGACGAGCCUGAUGAGAUGAGGCACCUGGGGACAGGUGACCCCAGGGGCUGCUGCUUGCAGUCGAGAGCUUCUGAGGAAAGACAUCCGAGACAACAGGGUGACUGCUGGGACUGUGGGCAAAGCAUGAGCUCAGUGCUCUCUUCCACUGACUUAGGCAACCCUGAAGGUCGCUGAAUAAAAUCUAA